CACGUAGGGCGCAAGCGUUGUCCGGAAUUAUUGGGCGUAAAGAGCUCGUAGGCGGCUUGUCGCGUCGUUCGUGAAAACCUGCAGCUCAACUGCAGGCUUGCGGUCGAUACGGGCAUCACUGGAGUUCGGCAGGGGAGACUGGAAUUCCUGGUGUAGCGGUGAAAUGCGUAGAUAUCUGGAGGAACACCGGUGGCGAAGGCGGCAUUCUGGACCGACAUUGACGCUGAGGAGCGAAAGCCAGGGGAGCAAAGCGGG
rnacentral:rRNA from 1 species